UCUUCCGUUGGGCGUCUUUGGGUGGAGAGAGAAAACAAGGCGGUCGCAGAGGAGGACAAGCGAAGAGGGGAGAUUUAGACGAUGAUGACAGCACAAUUUUGCCUGUCGGAUUUGCUCGUUUUCCUUUCUUGGUUGCCGGGGACGUUCGGAAUUUCGUGAUAUGUCUUUGGCUGAAGCAGGAAACGAGAAAAAAAAAAAAGAUAAGGGGAGACGAAUUCCCUUCGAUCUUUUCACUCUACCGCUUCUUGACUGCUGCUUUUAAUGAAAGAAGGGGAGGUGAGAAAGAUUCAUUUUUGGAUUUUUCAUUGCAGUGGCCUUGAUUGAUUUUUUCAAUUUCUCUGAGGGAUCGGGCUUUCGAGCUUUGGAGAAGGAACAUCGACGAAUAUUUGGGAGAGUUGGUGUGUUCCUUUGCGUAAUUAUUUCUUAGGUGCCUGGAUAUCUAGGGCUCGUAUCGUAUGGAUUCGGAACAGAGAUGCAAAAGAUCCGACGGGAAGCAGUGGCGUUGCUCGGCGAUGGCGUUGCCGGGAAAAUCGUUGUGCGAGAAGCAUCACUCGCUCGCCAAGAAGCACCGGGUAAUGCCUCCCAGCAGUGGCGAUUCCGGCCGGGCUGAGCUUGACUCCUUUGCGGCAAGGAAGGAGUUAAAAUGGAAUAAGAGGAAACGGACGCGUGUCGGAUUUAUAGAGACUUCUUUAAAGAAGAAGAAAAAGAAGAGAAAGUUGGGUGGCGAAGUUUUGGUGGGGAAUUCUGGGCGAAAGGAGUGUCGGGCUAGUUUUCUCCCUGAGAACAAUAAGAAAAUGAAGCGGAAGAAGGCUUUUGUUAACGGCAGAACUGAUGAGGAGGAAGAAGAAGAUGACGCUGGUGAGGAGGGGGACGAGGAGGAGAAGCAUCAGAAAAGGGGUUUAGGGAAGCGGCAACGGGAUUUCGGAGGAGAAGCGAGAUUAGGAGAGAGGGGUGCCGGCAAAAAGACGGCAAUGUUCAAUGGUGGGAACUCAAAGACCGACCGUAGAAAGAUGGGCUCGGAGAGCUGUGGUGCUGAUGCAACUCGUAAGCAUAAGGAACAGAAAGGUCUGAUGUGCCAUCAAUGCCAGAGGAAUGACAAAGGCAGAGUAGUCAUUUGCUCCAGUUGCAAGAGGAAGCGAUAUUGCUAUUUUUGUAUUCAGAAAUGGUAUCCAGAGCAAACACCAGAAGAAAUAGAAGAUGCAUGUCCAGUAUGUCGUGGCAACUGCAAUUGCAAAGCUUGCUUGCGUGAAACCGUGGUCAGCAUGAAUGAAUGCAUGGAAGACAAUCCAAAAGAUAGGUUGCAACAGCUUCUGUACUUGCUGCAUAAUGUUACGCCAGUGCUGAAGCAAAUUAAUGCAGAACAGACUGUGGAGAAAGAAGUUGAAGCAAAAGUACAAGGCAUUCCAGUUGCAGAUUUGAACAUAACAAGGAGAAAACUUGGUCAAGAUGAGCGCUUAUAUUGUGAUAAUUGCAAUACAUCAAUCGAUGACUUCUAUAGAAGCUGUCCAAACUGUGAGUAUGAUCUUUGUCUCACUUGCUGCCGGGAGCUACGGGAAGGCUGCCAACCUGGAGGUAGUGAGGCACAGUCUGCCUAUGAGCAGUCCUUGGAAAGAGCCAAGGUUCAAGUGACAGAGGGCUCACAAAGUGCUCAAAGGAGAAGGUUUGCAUGGGAGAGCCAUCUAGAUAUUGCCAGAAAUGCCUGCGACAGUACCUAUUCAUUGCCUAACUGGAGUGCAAAUGAUGAUGGUAGCAUUGCAUGCCCUCCAAAGGAACGAGGUGGUUGUGGUACCACUUUGCUUCAGCUACAUCGGAACUUCAAAGCUAAUUGGGUUGUCAAGCUGCUGAAGAGUGCAGAGGAACUCCUGAGCCAUUAUGAGUUUGAAGGUGUGCCUGAUUCAUCCGAGGACUGUCUCCUGUGCUCAGCUAGUGAUGCAAAUCUCAGGGACAAUGGUGAGAGACCUGCCACACGGCGAGCAGCAUCCAGAGAGGCUAGCCAUGACAAUUUUCUGUAUUGUCCAAAUGUGAUCGACUUAAAAGAUGGUGGAAUGGAGCAUUUUCAGAAGCACUGGUUAAGAGGUGAACCUGUCAUUGUUAGGGAUGUCCAUGAGAAAACAUCUGGUCUCAGUUGGGAACCAAUGGUCAUGUGGAGGGCCCUCAGAGAAACAGGCAGCAAAAAGCAAUUCAAAGAGGAAACAAGUUCUGUGAGGGCUAUUGAUUGCUUAGAUUGGUGUGAGGUUGAGAUAAAUAUACAUCAAUUUUUCAAAGGCUACUUAGAUGGUCGUAUGCACAGAGGUGGCUGGCCAGAAAUGCUGAAGCUUAAGGAUUGGCCUCCUUCUAGCUUGUUUGAGGAGAGAUUGCCUAGGCAUUGUGCCGAGUUCAUUGCAGCAUUGCCAUUCUAUCAUUAUACCCACCCGAAAUGCGGAGUCAUGAAUCUGGCCACAAAGCUUCCCGAUGGCUCCUUGAGGCCAGAUUUAGGACCCAAAACCUACAUUGCAUAUGGGUCCCAUGAAGAACUCGGUAGAGGUGAUUCAGUCACGAAGUUGCAUUGUGACAUGUCUGAUGCGGUUAAUGUGCUAACACACACUGCUGAGGUGAAGGUCCCUGCAUGGCAGAAAGUAAAGAUAGAAAAAAUGAAAAAGAAACACCAUCAGGAAGACUUGGUCGAACUUUAUGCAAGUCAGAGUGAAGCUGUUGAUGACUCUAGUGAUGUAGCAGAAAAGGUAAAACUUGGAAAAAUUCAAGAACCUGUUAACUCGUCAAAUUUCAAGGAUGUUACAGAAAAAAAGUUUCCACCCCUUGAAACGGUAAGUGAAAGGCUUGAGGAGUUGGAUGAGAAGGAAUAUAUGAUCGAUAUACCUUGUUCCCUAGACAAGGAUGCUGUUCAUAAGAGUGUGCAAUGUUCAGAGGCAAUUCAUAUUGAGGUGGGAAACGUCAAAAGCCAACCUCCUCAAAUGGAUAGAAGUUCUUCACUGUUAAUUUCUGGUUUACAUGGUAAUGGUGCACUCUCGGCAGACACUGAGAAACAUAUGGAGAGUGUUAUUCAACAAAAAUUGGAGGAUAAGAAGAAAACAGAGGUAAGUGUUCAUGGGAGUUCUGUGCCUGUGGUGAAGGUUGAUUCACAUACCAGACAUGAGGGGCCAUGUAAAGAGGAAAUUCCAUUAAAUACUUCAUGUUCUCCAAAUUGUAUGGUGACUACUCAUGACAGUUCAGAGUUUCUAGGAAAAAAAUGUAUAAUUGGAGAUAAAGUUAUUAAUGAUAAUGGUUAUUAUAGUGACAAUCACUUGGGGGCUCAUUGUCCUGAUUACCAGCAGUCUGAGGUUGAAGCCUCUGGUUCACCAAAUUGCAGGAAUGAUGUUAGUGUGGUGCAGUCAGUUGCCACAGAUUUUGAUAUGAAAUGUUCUGAUAGACAAGAGCGUCUGAGGAUUGACAAUAUGCCAGUUGCUAAAUGUGAUGAAACUAACAAUGCUCUAUGCACCAACAUAGUCAAUACUGGUUGUGGAACAUCAUAUGGAAAACAGUCAAGUUCAGUCUCCUCUGAUGAUGUGACCUUAAAACAAGGUCUUCUUGGUGGGAAAGAGUCUUCUCAAGAUGGUGAAAGUGACUCAUCAAGUUUAAAUGCCAUAAGUGUGAAUAAAGAAACUCAUGAGGUUGGUUGUGAUUCAGAGGUUGCAUGUGGAGGUGCUGUGUGGGACAUAUUUCGUAGACAGGAUGUCCCGGCUCUAAUUAAUUAUUUGCAAAAGCACUGGAAAGAAUUUCGCCAUAUUAGUAAACGGCCCUUGACUUCUGUUGUUCAUCCAAUUCAUGAUCAGACACUUUUCUUGAAUGCAAGGCACAAAAGACAACUGAAAGAAGAGUUCAAUAUUGAGCCUUGGACAUUUGAGCAACAUCAUGGUGAAGCUGUCUUUAUCCCGGCUGGUUGUCCUCAUCAAGUGAGGAAUAGGAAGUCUUGUAUAAAGGUGGCCCUGGACUUUGUUUCACCUGAGAAUGUUCAAGAGUGUGUCCGUUUGACAAAAGAAUUUCGCUUGCUUCCAAAAAGACACAGAGCUAAGGAAGACAAACUUGAGGUGAGGAAGAUGGCCCUAUAUGCUGUAAGUGCCGCUGUGAAGGAAGCCCAGAAACUGAUAGAAGAGCUCAGCCCCUCACUUGAAGCUAUGAGAUCAGAGGGAGAUGACUGAAGGCAUACUUUAGUAAUGUAUAACUUAGUUGGGAACUAUGGUACUCUAGUGACUGACUCCAAUGACUGUGAGAUGUGCUGCCGAUGACCAAGUUUAGCUUUCGCAAGACAUAGGCUAUGGCCACAGCCAUCUUGAGUGACAACAUUGCACCUGUUGGGCUGGUGCAUGUUGUAAGUGUGAAAUAGAACAAAUUUGUUCUCUCAAUGCAUCUUGGGCGAGGAAGUGAAGAAACCAAUUUUCUGGCUAGUGAAGACAAAGCAGUUCAGAUGGGUUCCCAGCUAGAUUUUGUCGGGCUUUGUGUGUGAUUAUGAGAAGUGUUUGGAUCUAGGUCCAAAUCGAAAGUCCAAACAUGUUAGUAAUAUUGUGAAUGUUGAUUUGAAGCAUGUGCAUAAUUCUUUCAUUAAUCUCCUAUUGUAUUUACUGGUGUAACAUGACAAAUUUAUCCAGUUUAUAAUUGUGCUGAUUAAUAUAAUGAAUUGGGGUUGAGGCAGGUUUUGUUUCUGUCUCCCCUCCCUUCAAA